rnacentral:tRNA from 1 species
GGCAUGUGGCUAAGUGGUAGGGCAUUUGCCUGACAUGCAUGCAGCUCUGGGUUCCAAUCCCAGCACCA